GACGAACGCUGGCGGCGUGCUUAACACAUGCAAGUCGAACGGAAAGGCCCCUUUGGGGGUACUCGAGUGGCGAACGGGUGAGUAACACGUGAGUAACCUGCCCUUGACUUCGGGAUAACUUCAGGAAACUGGGGCUAAUACCGGAUAGGAAUCCUUGCUGCAUGGUGGGGGUUGGAAAGCUUCGGCGGUUUUGGAUGGACUCGCGGCUUAUCAGCUUGUUGGUGGGGUAGUGGCUUACCAAGGCUUUGACGGGUAGCCGGCCUGAGAGGGCGACCGGCCACAUUGGGACUGAGUUACGGCCCAGACUCCUACGGGAGGCAGCAGUGGGGAAUAUUGCACAAUGGGCGGAAGCCUGAUGCAGCAACGCCGCGUGCGGGAUGACGGCCUUCGGGUUGUAAACCGCUUUCAGCAGGGGCGAAGCUUGUGGUGACGGUACCUGCAGAAGAAGCACCGGCUAACUACGUG
rnacentral:rRNA from 1 species